rnacentral:rRNA from 1 species
UAGGGAAUCUUCCGCAAUGGGCGAAAGCCUGACGGAGCAACGCCGCGUGAGUGAUGAAGGUCUUCGGAUCGUAAAACUCUGUUAUUAGGGAGAACAAAUGUGUAAGUAACUAUGCACGUCUUGACGGUACCUAAUCAGAAAGCCACGGCUAACUACGUGCCAGCAGCCGCGGUAAUACGUAGGUGGCAAGCGUUAUCCGGAAUUAUUGGGCGUAAAGCGCGCGUAGGCGGUUUUUUAAGUCUGAUGUGAAAGCCCACGGCUCAACCGUGGAGGGUCAUUGGAAACUGGAAAACUUGAGUGCAGAAGAGGAAAGUGGAAUUCCAUGUGUAGCGGUGAAAUGCGCAGAGAUAUGGAGGAACACCAGUGGCGAAGGCGACUUUCUGGUCUGUAACUGACGCUGAUGUGCGAAAGCGUGGGGAUCAAACAGG